CGACAGAGGGUUCUGUGGAGGACAUAAGGGAGAUCGUGCAGAGACUGAAGGUGAUGACCAAUGGCUGGGAGACGGUGGACAUGACGCUGCGGCGGAACGGGCUCGGGCAGCUGGGCUUCCAUGUGAAGUACGACGGCACGGUGGCCGAGGUUGAGGACUACGGGUUCGCCUGGCAGGCCGGCCUCCGGCAGGGCAGCCGACUGGUGGAGAUCUGCAAGGUGGCCGUGGUCACAUUGACCCACGACCAGAUGAUCGACCUGCUGCGCACCUCUGUCACUGUGAAGGUGGUCAUCAUUCCGCCUUUCGAGGAUGGCACGCCCCGGAGAUGGAGUCUCUCUCUAUCGCCAGGCUGGAGUGCAUUGGCGUGAUCUCGGCUCACUGCAACCUCUGCCUCCCGGGUUCAAGC
rnacentral:sRNA from 1 species